rnacentral:rRNA from 3 species
CAUAUCAAUAAGCGGAGGAAAAGAAACCAACAGGGAUUGCCCUAGUAACGGCGAGUGAAGCGGCAACAGCUCAAAUUUGAAAUCUGGCUCUUUUAGGGUCCGAGUUGUAAUUUGCAGAGAGCGCUUUGGCGUUGGCAGCGGUCCAAGUUCUUUGGAACAGGACGUCACAGAGGGUGAGAAUCCCGUACGUGGUCGCUAGCCUUCGCCGUGUAAAGCCUCUUCGACGAGUCGAGUUGUUUGGGAAUGCAGCUCUAAAUGGGAGGUAAAUUUCUUCUAAAGCUAAAUACUGGCCAGAGACCGAUAGCGCACAAGUAGAGUGAUCGAAAGAUGAAAAGCACUUUGGAAAGAGAGUCAAAUAGCACGUGAAAUUGUUGAAAGGGAAGCGCUUGCAGCCAGACUUGCCUGUAGUUGCUUAUCCGGACUUUUGUCCGGUGCACUCUUCUGCGGGCAGGCCAGCAUCAGUUUAGGCGGUUGGAUAAAGGUCUCUAUCACGUACCUCCCUUCGGGGUUGGCCUUAUAGGGGAGACGACAUGCAGCCAGCCUGAACUGAGGUCCGCGCAUCUGCUAGGAUGCUGGCGUAAUGGCUGUAAGCGGCCCGUCUUGAAACACGGACCAAGGAGUCUAACAUCUAUGCGAGUGUUUGGGUGUCAAGCCCAGACGCGUAAUGAAAGUGAACGGAGGUGGGAACCUUUUAGGUGCACCAUCGACCGAUCCUGAUGUCUUCGGAUGGAUUUGAGUAAGAGCAUGGCUGUUGGGACCCGAAAGAUGGUGAACUAUGCUUGAAUAGGGUGAAGCCAGAGGAAACUCUGGUGGAGGCUCGCAGCGGUUCUGACGUGCAAAUCGAUCGUCAAAUUUGGGCAUAGGGGCGAAAGACUAAUCGAAC